rnacentral:rRNA from 1 species
CAACGGUGGAGCCUGCGGUUAAUUGGACUCAACGCCGGGCAGCUCACCGGAUAAGACAGCUGGAUGAUAGCCGGGCUGAAGACUCUGCUUGACUAGCUGAGAGGAGGUGCAUGGCCGUCGUCAGUUCGUACUGUGAAGCAUCCUGUUAAGUCAGGCAACGAGCGAGACCCACGCCAACAGUUGCCAGCAUGUCCUCCGGGAUGAUGGGGACACUGUUGGGACCGCCUCUGCUAAAGAGGAGGAAGGAAUGGGCAACGGUAGGUCAGCAUGCCCCGAAUUAUCCGGGCUACACGCGGGCUACAAUGGUCAGGACAAUGGGUAUCGACACCGAGAGGUGGAGGCAAUCUCCUAAACCUGUCCUUAGUUCGGAUUGUGGGCUGCAACUCGCCCACAUGAAGCUGGAAUCCGUAGUAAUCGCGUUUCAACAGAACGCGGUGAAUACGUCCCUGCUCCUU